rnacentral:rRNA from 1 species
CCUACGGGAGGCAGCAGUGGGGAAUAUUGCACAAUGGGCGAAAGCCUGAUGCAGCAACGCCGCGUGAGAGAUGAAGGCCUUCGGGUCGUAAAGCUCUGUCCUCCAGGAAGAAAAUGCCGGUACUUGAGGCGGAAGCCCCGGCUAACUACGUGCCAGCAGCCGCGGGAAUACGUAGGGGGCUAGCGUUAUCCCGAAUUACUGGGCGUAAAGGGGGCGUAGGUGGUUUCUUAAGUCAGAGGUGAAAGGCUACGGCUCAACCGUAGUAAGCCUUUGAAACUGGGGAACUUGAGUGCAGGAGAGGCGAGUGGAAUUCCUAUUGUAGCGGUGAAAUGCGUAGAUAUUAGGAGGAACACCAGUUGCGAAGGCGGCUCUCUGGACUGUAACUGACACUGAGGCACGAAAGCGUGGGGAGCAAACAGGAUUAGAUACCCUGGUAGUC